CAGCUCCUCAUAGGGCUUCAGGAAAUGUGUUGUUGCUGUUAUAAUCUUUGGGACAUUUUACCUCAUACCCAUGAUUUCCUUGCUCACCCCAGGUGUCUCCCAUCCUACUAAAGGAUCCUAUGUGCCCUUUGUUUUUUUUCCCUUUUACUCUCUUAGUGAUGAAGACUUCCUCUUCCAUUUAAUACUACAUUUUCUUUCAUCAGAUUCUCCUGACAGAGAGCCAAGUUGUAUUUACUGGCUGGACACCCGUGUUGAGGAGAACAUUUGAUCAAAGCAGAGGAGGACUCCAUGCUUUAACCAUGACAUGACACGAGCCAAUGAAGACGGCCAGAAACAGCCAACAAAACCCGGGGUAGUGUGAACCAGACCCAUCUGUGUGUACAUGAGGGCGCCCACCACUUUCUAGCCAGCACCAGGAUGUUACGUCAUGCUGUGCACAUAGCCUGUGAGAGAGUCUGAUGUCCUUGCAAGAAGUAGACAGAGUACAGUGCAAGAUUGGAGUAAGGCCAAGUGGGAACCAAGGAGAUGCCAUUUGCAAGUCAAGGAGAGAGAAACCAGAGAAACCAGCCCUACCCAUGCCUUCACCUCUGACGUCCAUCUUCUAGCUC